rnacentral:rRNA from 1 species
AGGUUAUCCGAGUGAUUCCUGCUAAAGGAAUCUUUUGUUAGUCAUAAAACCACUGAUGAAUAAGGGGUGGGCAAGUUCUGGUGUCAGCCGCCGCGGUAAUACCAGCACCUCGAGUGGUCAGGAGGUUUAUUGGGCCUAAAGCAUCCGUAGCCGGCUGUUCAAGUUUUCGGUUAAAUCCAUGCGCUUAACGUAUGGGCUGCCGGGAAUACUGCAUAACUAGGAAGUGGGAGAGGUAGACGGUACUCGGGAGGAAGGGGUAAAAUCCUUUGAUCUAUUGAUGACCACCUGUGGCGAAGGCGGUCUACCAGAACACGUUCGACGGUGAGGGAUGAAAGCUGGGGGAGCAAACCGGAUUAGAUACCCGGGUAGUCCCAGCUGUAAACUAUGCAAACUCAGUGAUGCAUUGGCUUAUGGCCAAUGCAGUGCUGCAGGGAAGCCGUUAAGUUUGCCGCCUGGGAAGUACGUACGCAAGUAUGAAACUUAAAGGAAUUGGCGGGGGAGCACCACAAGGGGUGAAGCCUGCGGUUCAAUUGGAGUCAACGCCAGAAAUCUUACCCGGAGAGACAGCAGAAUGAAGGUCAAGCUGAGGACUUUACCAGACAAGCUGAGAGGUGGUGCAUGGCCGUCGCCAGCUCGUGCCGUGAGAUGUCCUGUUAAGUCAGGUAACGAGCGAGAUCCCUGCCUCUAGUUGCCACCAUUACUCUCAGGAGUAGUGGGGCGAAUUAGCG